rnacentral:lncRNA from 10 species
CCCGGUCUUGCAAAUCGCCGCCGUCCAGCCGCCUGCUCUGGUGCGAGUCUUCUCCGCUUUACGACUCGGACUCAGAAAAGCCGGCCUGGGCUUCGGCCACUUCCCCAGCACCCGUGUCUGCCCUUCCAAUUGCCCCUUUCCUGCCUGGCACGACCUGGCCUUGCUCACUGCACGCUUCCCUUCUAAGUGAGCCUUCUUUUUCCUUUCCCUCAGCCAGCCUUGAAGUCUCCUUCGACAGAGAGUGAGACCUGCUGUCCUCCCUGCCCUUAGUCACUGUCCACUCAGCCUAAUGCCUCUGUGGAAGAGGAGGAGCCGCCAUCUCUGAACUGUUAAUGGAGGUGGGGAAAGAGAGCCAAGCUAGGAAACAGGUUGAUAGACGGAUCGGCCCAGUCAACUGUGAACACAGCUGCUGAUUCAUGCAAUAUGUGUUUACUGAGCACCUACUGGGUAUCAGCAAGGUGUUAGGUGCUAGAGACGGAGCAGGGAACAAAACAGGAGUUUGGCAAAUCCAGGAGAGAGGACCAAGUGGAAAGGGCUGGAGGAAAGAAAAAACCCAGUGCAUCAAGUUCCCUGGAACUAGGCCAGAGCUUGGGGUGAAGAGC